AUUGAACGCUGGCGGCAGGCCUAACACAUGCAAGUCGAACGGUAGCACAGAGAGCUUGCUCUCGGGUGACGAGUGGCGGACGGGUGAGUAACGUCUGGGAAACUGCCCGAUGGAGGGGGAUAACUACUGGAAACGGUAGCUAAUACCGCAUAACGUCGCAAGACCAAAGUGGGGGACCUUCGGGCCUCACACCCUCGGAUGUGCCCAGAUGGGAUUAGCUAGUAGGUGGGGUAAUGGCUCACAUAGGCGACGAUCCCUAGCUGGUCUGAGAGGAUGACCGGCCACCCUGGAACUGAGACACGGUCCAGACUCCUACGGGAGGCAGCAGUGGGGAAUAUUGCACAAUGGGCGCAAGCCUGAUGCAGCCAUGCCGCGUGUAUGAAGAAGGCCUUCGGGUUGUAAAGUACUUUCAGCGGGGAGGAAGGCGGUGAAGUUAAUAGCUUCACCGAUUGACGUUACCCGCAGAAGAAGCACCGGCUAACUCCGUGCCAGCCGCCGCCGUAA
rnacentral:rRNA from 1 species